rnacentral:rRNA from 1 species
CGGGGAGCACCACAACAGGUGGAGCCUGCGGUUUAAUCGGACUCAACGCCGGGAAAACUCACCAGUUAAGACAGCUGAAUGAUAGUCGGGCUGAAGACUCUACUUGACUAGCUGAGAGGAGGUGCAUGGCCGUCGUCAGUUCGUACUGUGAAGCAUCCUGUUAAGUCAGGCAACGAGCGAGACCCACGCCAACAGUUGCCAGCUCGUCCUCCGGGAUGGUGGGGACACUGUUGGGACCGCCUCUGCUAAAGAGGAGGAAGGAAUGGGCAACGGUAGGUCAGCAUGCCCCGAAUUAUCUGGGCUACACGCGGGCUACAAUGGGUGGGACAAUGGGUAUCGACACCGAAAGGUGAAGGCAAUCUCCUAAACCCAUCCGUAGUUCGGAUUGUGGGCUGCAACUCGCCCACAUGAAGCUGGAAUCUGUAGUAAUCGUGUCUCAAAAUGGCACGGUGAAUAUGUCCCUGCUCCUU